GAUGAACGCUAGCGAUAGGCUUAACACAUGCAAGUCGAGGGGCAGCACAAGGUAGCUUGCUAUCUGGGUGGCGACCGGCGCACGGGUGCGUAACGCGUAUGCAACUUGCCCUAUACAGGAGGAUAACCCGUCGAAAGACGGACUAAUACUGCGUAUGCUCACAACUUGGCAUCAAGUGGUGAGGAAAGAAAUUCGGUAUAGGAUAGGCAUGCGUCCCAUUAGCUUGUUGGUGAGGUAACGGCUCACCAAGGCAACGAUGGGUAGGGGAACUGAGAGGUUUAUCCCCCACACUGGUACUGAGACACGGACCAGACUCCUACGGGAGGAAGCAGUGAGGAAUAUUGGUCAAUGGGCGCGAGCCUGAACCAGCAAAGUCGCGUGAAGGAUGACUGUCUUAUGGAUUGUAACCUUCUUUUAUACGGGAAUAACAAGAGUCACGUGUGACUCCCUGAAUGUACCGUAUGAAUAAGCAUCGGCUAACUCCGUG
rnacentral:rRNA from 1 species